GGGGAUAUAGCUCAGUUGGUAGAGCACUUGCUUUGCAAGCAAGGGGUCAGCGGUUCGAACCCGCUUAUCUCCACCA
rnacentral:tRNA from 1 species